rnacentral:rRNA from 1 species
UGAGGAAUAUUGGUCUAUGGGCGCAAGCCUGAACCAGCCAUCCCGCGUGAAGGAAGAAGGCGCUAUGCGUUGUAAACUUCUUUUCCAGGGGGCGAACGUUCCGUACGUGUACGGGAGUGACGGUACCCUGGGAAUAAGCAUCGGCUAACUCCGUGCCAGAAGCCGCGGUAAUACGGCGGAUGCGAGCGUUAUCCGGCUUUAUUGGGUUUAAAGGGUGCGUAGGCGGAUUAAUAAGUCAGUGGUGAAAACCUGCAGCUUAACUGUGGAACUGCCGUUGUGACUGUGAGUCUUGAGUAUGGUCAAGGUAGGCGGAAUGUGUAAUGUAGCGGUGAAAUGCUUAGAUAUUACACAGAACACCGAUUGCGAAGGCAGCUUACUGGGCCGUUACUGACGCUGAUGCACGAAAGCGUGGGGAUCGAACA